rnacentral:rRNA from 1 species
AGGACGAACGCUGGCGGCGUGCUUAACACAUGCAAGUCGAGCGGUAAGGCCUUUCGGGGUACACGAGCGGCGAACGGGUGAGUAACACGUGGGUGAUCUGCCCUGCACUUCGGGAUAAGCCUGGGAAACUGGGUCUAAUACCGGAUAUGACCUCCUAUCGCAUGGUGGGUGGUGGAAAGAUUUAUCGGUGCAGGAUGGGCCCGCGGCCUAUCAGCUUGGUUGGUGGGGUAAUGGCCUACCAAGGCGACGACGGGUAGCCGACCUGAGAGGGUCGACCGGCCACGACUGGGACUGGAGACACGGCCAGACUCCUACGGGAGCAGCGAGGUAGGGAAUAGUUGCACGAAGUGGGACGAAAGCCUAGAUG